UGGGGGGGACACAGAGAAGGGGUGGGGGAAAUAAAAACUGAAUUUAUUUUAUCUGAGCUCUGUAGCUGGAUUGACGUCCCUCUUCGGCAGUUUGUUCUUUCCUGUAUAUGCAGUAACAAGGUUUAAAAAAAAAUAAAGAAGAAGCGAGACUAUUAGACAAAGUAUUUAUGUAAUUAUUUGAUAACUCAUGUAAAUAGGUGGAAUAUGAAAAUGCUUGGAAAAUUAAACUUUAAUUUAUUGACAUUGUACAUAGCUCUGUGUAAAUAUGAUUGCAAUUGUCAGGUUUUUGUUCUUGUUUUCUUUUAGUCAAUUUUAUUUCCAGGUCACAGAAUUGCUGUUCACACUAGAAAACAAGACUUUCUGCACCGACAUCUACACACUUUCAAAAGAGUUGUCUGCAAAAUUUAUUUUUCUUUUUUAAUGUCAAGAGUAGGGGUUGUGUGUGUGUGGGGGGGGGAGUGCUGUUUCCUAUUUUAGCCAAAAUUGGGGAGGAGUUAGCACUUCCCAGCUCCACUUGAAAUUCCUGAAAAUAUAACACCCUGAGAGUGGUCCUGGGAUUGGUGUGGGCUGGGGGGAGUGCAGAGACUGUGGUUUGACUUCCCAACUUUCCUUUCAUAUUUGUAUCUGCUAGUCUCUGAUUUCCUCCAAAUGAAGUGGAAUUUAACUACUGUUGUCAAUCUUGAUGGCGUUUUGAAUUGGUGCCUAUAGAGAGAGUCUCAGUUCAAAAGUCAGGUGCUGAGGGAUGGUUUAAAAGACAAAAAUCCAUGAAGGUAUAUUUUGUGUUAUAGUUGGCGAGUUCUUUGGUUUUCUGUAUUUUUUUCCUCUUUAAAACAUCACUGAAAUUUCAAUAAAUUUUUAUUGAAAUGUUAAAAAAAAAAAAAAAAGUCUACAGCCCUGUUUCAAAAGACAUUCCAUUGUGAUGAUUGAACAAAACCAUUGAAUUGUGCACUUUAAAUGGGUGAGCUCUGUGAUAUGUGAGAUGUAUCUCAAUAAAGCUUUUUAAAAAUGUUUUUAUUUAUUUAUU
rnacentral:lncRNA from 1 species